rnacentral:lncRNA from 1 species
CGAAGUAAAGCAUGAGGGGAUAUAACCUUAUACAUAUAACAUACGAGCCUAUAAGGCCGACAUGAUCAUUUAUAUACUUAAAAUAUAGGCUGACAAAGCCAUACAAGUAUUUGUAUACAUGACAUCUGUCUACAAGACUCUAACAGUACAUAGGUAUCAUAAAGGUUGGGACAGGGUCCCGCCAUACUAAACAAUACACGUCUAAAUCAUACCGACCAAACAAGCAACUCCGGAGCAAAUGGAGCGCACCAACAACUUCCGCUGAGCUUCUAGCCUACUUGGAGGACUCUCGACCUGUCUAUUAGGAUCUGCAGGCAUGAAACGUAGCUUCCCCAGCCAAAAGGGACGUUAGUACGAAUAAUGUACCAAGUAUGUAAGGCGCAUAAAUAAUUACAUAAAAGACAUAGGAAGAAAUAUAGAGUAAAAGACUCAACCCAUAAGGCUCGAUAACUCUGUAAAUCAUGAAAUACUUAUAGUGUCAUGCAUAUACGUAUGAAUGUCAUGCCAUGCAUAGGUACAUGUGUUUAUAAAAUCAUCAAGCCUCUGAGGGCAUCCCAUCAUAUCAUCUCGGCUAUUUUGGGUAAAAUCAUCAAUGUAUGCCAGUUGAUUAGGUGGUGGUGCGUAUAUAACGCCAUAACCUUUUCUCAUAUCCCAUAUACAUAUAAUAUAUAUAUAUGAGCGUAUAUAAUGUCAUCUGGUCAUGGGUUAAUAUAUAUGAAUAAAAUGCAUGAGAAACACACUAAUAAAAUCUGUCGGAGUGACAUAAGACCAUUACUUCUUUGAGUAAUAUCAUGAAGUAAACAUUUUCAACUUACGUAUUUUUCUGAGAUCCAUGAACAGAGGACAAAAUAAUAGGACACAGGGGAAUUCAAGAACAUAGGCGCGUUUAAUACUUCUAUGAAUAGAGUCAUUUAUGGUAGUUGUGCAUUUUCUCAUUUCAUUUGUAUCAUAUGGAUCAUGCCAAAAGAAAGAAGCGAUAGCCUUAACAUACCUGGAGUAGGAAAAAAUCUGUAUGAUAUUCUUGAGAAGGAUUGCACCGUACUCCCUUAGAAUUGCAAAAUCCCAUUGUUAUUAAGGAUUGCACCGUACUCCCUUAGAAUUGCAAAAUCCCAUUGUUAUUAUGCAGUGCAAUUUCGUAUGAAUUUCUUUAUAAAUCUAAGAAUUGCCGCUGGUAUUGUACUGUAACAUCUUAUAUGAAUCUUCAAGAAUUUCCUCCAAGUUAAGCGGCUUCCUCCCUCAAAUGCAUUUACAAAAAUGUCAAAAUUCCAACUAGUACUAUACCAUAAGCCUAAAGGUUGGAAUCUUGUAUACCAAUAACGUGCUGAAGCAAAGAAACAUUUGGAACAUCCUAAUAAACCAGAAUUUUUCUCUUAAGAACACUAACAAAUCAUAAAUAAUGAAAUCACGAGUUUAUCUCAUUUAUUACCCAAACCAUGAACAUCAAACCAUCUUAGUUGUAGGCAUAUCCUUCAUUCACUGGAUAUAUAAUUCUUCAUUUCAUUCCUUGUCUUUACUUUUAUAUAUGUCCUUAUAACAAAUGACUUUGAUAAGCUUUAAAGAUAAGAUAGAGAUGGC